rnacentral:rRNA from 1 species
GACGAACGCUGGCGGCGUGCUUAACACAUGCAAGUCGAACGGAAAGGCCCUGCUUUUGUGGGGUGCUCGAGUGGCGAACGGGUGAGUAACACGUGAGUAACCUGCCCUUGACUUUGGGAUAACUUCAGGAAACUGGGGCUAAUACCGGAUAGGAGCUCCUGCUGCAUGGUGGGGGUUGGAAAGUUUCGGCGGUUGGGGAUGGACUCGCGGCUUAUCAGCUUGUUGGUGGGGUAGUGGCUUACCAAGGCUUUGACGGGUAGCCGGCCUGAGAGGGUGACCGGCGACAUUGGGACUGAGAUACGGCCCAGACUCCUACGGGAGGCAGCAGUGGGAAAUAUUGCACAAUGGGCCGAAGCCUGAUGCAGAGACGCCGCGUGCGGGAUGACGGCCUUCGGGUUGUAAACCGCUUUCGCCUGUGACGAAGCGUGAGUGACGGUAAUGGGUAAAGAAGCACCGGCUAACUACGUG